rnacentral:pre_miRNA from 1 species
UAGCAGCACAUCAUGAUUUGCAUGCUGUAUUAGAUUCUAAUCAUUAUUUGCUGCUUCA